rnacentral:lncRNA from 1 species
UGCACUUCUGGAAAGAUCUACUGCUUAGCCGAACCACUAGAUUGAGCCUCAGACCCUAAGAGGUAGGGGGUCAAUAUAGUUGUACUGGUACACAGAACAAACCCAAAAUGAUAUUUGAUAUUCAACAUAUAUGAGAGCAAUUUAAAAACGGUUCAUAAAUAUGUCACAUAGUAAAAGUCACAGCGUGGUUAAAAGACUAUAAAACCAUCUGAACUCUGUGACAUACUCUUUGUUUUACUUCUACGCUAGGUGGUAUACCCUACAAUUCUGUAAUUCCACGGGCUAUAUGGAAUCUACCCUUAACUCGGCAGCCAAGCCCCAACCCAAGCUUGCCGCAAGGGUCGGAGUCUCUAAAUCUCUACUACGCACAGGGUCGUCACCAGCGUACAAAAGUAACAUACCCGUAUCGGCAAAACACGAUUUUAGGUUAUGAGUCGAUUGACUCGUGCCCUCUUCGGGUAACCACCUAACCCUCUUUAAGCCCAUUUUUAAUUCUUUACAACAUGCAAUCUUUGAAAAUCAAACUCUGAAGACUCUAGUUCUGUUAUGGCAUAUAUUUACAUGGUAUCGUCAUACCAUUGACUUACAAGUCACAUUCUCUGAGCCAUUUAUAGCAAAUUAUGUCUCUUUUCUUAAAUCAUGAAAUUCAGGACCACCAUAUCAACAAUUCUUUUCAAGAAACUCAUUCUUUAAAACUCAUGUGAAACCAUGCAAGCAAUUCUCUUUAUCAACGAUUCACUAAACAAAGGUGGUCGUGUCAAAAUUCUUAAUUUCAUGCAAUUCUUUCUCUUUAACACAAAACAUAGAUAUCUCAAGAAACACCCUCUCAUCAUCUCUAAAUCAUGUUCAAAUAACAUUGAGAAAACUACUUUCACAUCUUAAAACAUGCAUUUCAACUCUUUUCCGACAAAAUCAUAAACUUUAAUUCAAUACGAGAGGGAACUCAUAAUUUGUGCUCUGAAACAAUCUCAAAUCUCAAUUUUCAUACAUAUACAUAUACAUGUAAAUCAAUUUAGGGGAAAAAACCACAAGGCCAAAGCAAUAGUAACAUUGAAACAUUCGGAAUACAUAAUUUAAAUAUAGAUUCCAAAACCCCUUUAAAAUUCAUGCUUAAUAAUCUUUAAAUCAUGCUCUAAUGUUUACAAGUCCAUGUAGUUUUUAGGAUAAACCCCACGUACCUUAGACUAUAAGAGUUGAAAGAUGAAACCUAGAUCUUGAUAGAUGGAACCUGGAUCUUGACCCUUUUCUUGAAGUCUUGAACUUAAGAUCUUGAUUCUUGAUCUUGAGGGAAAGGAUUUAGGGUUUUAAUUUGAGAGGAA